GAGAUAAAAGUGGUGAGCGCAGUGUUCUUUUCUGGACCAUCAGGGUAUGUUCUUCUCCUGAACGGGGUUUUUCCCAUGAGACUCAUGAAUUCCCGGGAAUCUGCUGAAAGCUCUAAACCUUUUCUCUGGAAAACUGGGGGCGUCAGUGCACGACCAAGCACGGGCAAGUCACAAGGGCACGCCCACACCGCUUGCGCGUGCGCAUACACCUGACUCGACUUACUCGCAGGCGUCCCUGGAACUCAGAAGCCAGAAUUUCAAGAGCCUACACAACUCACUCCUCAGAGGGACCUCACCCUCCCCAGAGUGAUUUGUUACCAUGUAUUGAGAGAAGACUGGAUGAUGCCACAUUGCCAUGUGAUCCAAUAAGAAUUCAAUAGUCCCCAGAUUUCUGACAGCCAGAACCAUCUCCUCUCUGCCUGGAGGCUCUCUCACAAAGCUGCAGCCUGCUCUGCCCUCUUUUGGGGAAGGUCUGAAAUUGCAGAGACUCCAUGCCCCUUUGCCCAGACCCAGCAGCCCUCCACUGGUCAUAAAACUCUUGUAUGAGAGGUUCCCACCCUAUACCUAGAGGAAAGGAGUAUCCUUAUCUCUGAAGACAAAGGAAGCCAAGAACCAGGCCUUGGUAAGUUUUCCCCAGUUUACUAUGCUUGCUUCAUACUCCUUAACCCAUCCUGCUCCUCCAGGACUAUACACUUGUCACCAUACCUAACAUAAAAAUACUCAGUGUUCUCCUCUAAAAAUAAAUCACAAAAACCAUGAAUUGCCUGUGCCCAGAAGAGUCGCAUGGCAUAUACACAUGAAGAUGGAAUUUUGGUUUUCAAUUUUAAGAUGUUUUUACUUAAAGGAAUGCCAUCUCGACAUGAAAUGUAAUUAAGGAAAUCUCCACUAAAAUAAUGUAAUGGAGUGUUAACAUUUAUUAACCCACGAGGAGAGAGGAGACAUGAGCAGAGGAAAUAUUUUAACAUCUUCACAGAAGAAAAAAACAUGAACAAAAACCUGGAAGCAACUUGGAAAAAGAGAGAAACAUGCGGUUGUUAACAGGGAAUUGGCUGAAAGUGUGUAUACAGAUGAUUAAACCUUGGCAGGACUCUUUCCUGUUGAAAUCAGCCGUUCCUUGCAAAAGAGAUUUACUCUUUGCAGAAAUUUGAUAGUAUUUAGAGAAUACAAGCCCAAAAGGACAAGGUGAGGCACAGGCUAAAGGAAGAGGCUUAAGUAGAUAGGUGGCUGCCUCUGGGACCCAUGGUCAUCUUCCCCAAAAUGUCACAUGGACUACUUCCACCAGUUCUGGCAGGAUUGAAGGACUUCUUUCUAGAGAAGAUAAAUGGCUCUAGAAGAAAGAGGUCCUCACAGUGACAUUUAGGAUCCACAAUUAAAAUGGCUAUUCACUGCCUUCACUGUUCAUCCUGUAAUAAGCUUAUCCGGCAACAAGUGUGAUAAUAGGAAAGAACACACCCUAUCCUAGCAGCCUCUGUUCAGCUUCAGCUAAUUGUUAGAGAUCAGUGAUGUCAGUUCAUCUUGAAGGUCAAGAGAAUUAGGAAAACUGGAUUUUUAUGUCAGUAUUUUCAAAUUUUAAGACACUUAGCACAUGAAAUAAAAUAUGAAUGACUCUAAGUAAAGGAUGUUUAGAACCUGUCAGCUACAGAAAAGGAUGCACUAGCUUUCUGCCAGAAUCAUAUGCUGAAGAGGAAAGUUAACACCUUGACAGAGGCAUCGAAUUCAAUCUCCAUCUGCCAGCAAAGUGCUUGCAUCCUAGUGUGAAAUAAAGUGAAGUCGCUCAGUUGUGUCCGACUC